rnacentral:rRNA from 1 species
AUACGAUCUAAUCUCGGCAUCGAGGAAAGAAUGAAAGGUGGCCUCUAUUUAUAAGCUAUACACUGAAGGAGGGGAUUGCGUCUGAUUAGCUAGUUGGAGGGGUAACGGCCCACCAAGGCGAUGAUCAGUAGCCGGUCUGAGAGGAUGAACGGCCACAUUGGGACUGAGACACGGCCCAGACUCCUACGGGAGGCAGCAUG